CCUACGGGAGGCAGCAGUGAGGAAUAUUGGGCAAUGGAGGAAACUCUGACCCAGCCAUGCCGCGUGAGUGAAGAAGGUUUUCGGAUUGUAAAGCUCUUUCGGAUGUGACGAUGAUGACCGUUGCAUCUAAAGAAGCCCCGGCUAACUUCGUGCCAGCAGCCGCGGUAAUACGAAGGGGGCAAGCGUUGUUCGGAAUUACUGGGCGUAAAGGGGGUGUAGGCGGUUUAGUAAGAUCGUUGUGAAAUCCCAGGGCUUAAACUGGGAAUGGCCAUUUUAACUAUUAGACUAGAAUUACAGAGAGGAGAGUGGAAUACCCAGGGUAGAGGUGAAAUGCGUAGAUAUUGGGAAGAACACCAGUGGCGAAGGCGACUAUCUGGCUGUACAUUGACGCUGAGGCUCGAAAGCAUGGGGAGCAAACAGGAUUAGAUACCCUUGUAGUC
rnacentral:rRNA from 1 species